GAUGAGCGCUGGCGGCGUGCCUAAUACAUGCAAGUCGAGCGAACGGACGAGAAGCUUGCUUCUCUGAUGUUAGCGGCGGACGGGUGAGUAACACGUGGAUAACCUACCUAUAAGACUGGGAUAACUUCGGGAAACCGGAGCUAAUACCGGAUAAUAUUUUGAACCGCAUGGUUCAAAAGUGAAAGACGGUCUUGCUGUCACUUAUAGAUGGAUCCGCGCUGCAUUAGCUAGUUGGUAAGGUAACGGCUUACCAAGGCAACGAUGCAUAGCCGACCUGAGAGGGUGAUCGGCCACCCUGGAACUUAGACACGGUCCAGACUCCUACGGGAGGCAGCAGUAGGGAAUCUUCCGCAAUGGGCGAAAGCCUGACGGAGCAACGCCGCGUGAGUGAUGAAGGUCUUCGGAUCGUAAAACUCUGUUAUUAGGGAAGAACAUAUGUGUAAGUAACUGUGCACAUCUUGACGGUACCUAAUCAGAAAGCCACGGCUAACUACGUG
rnacentral:rRNA from 1 species